CGGAGAGCUGCCUUGCUCCUUCCACCAUGUGAGGACACAGCAAGAAGGGGCUGACUCUGAACCAGGAAGCUGUGCUGUGCUCACCAGACACUUUGAUCUUGGACUUCUCAGCCUCCAGAACUGUGAGAAAGAGAUUUCUAUUAUUUAUAAGCCACCCAGUAGAUGGUACUUUGUUACAGCAGCCUGAAAGGACUAAGACACCGACCUAGUCUCCCUGAUGAAAAAGUUUCUCUCAGACUUCUACCCUUUCCAAUGUGGCCAAAGCUUUUCAUUCCGAAGAAGUUUCCUUUCUGAGAACGCUCAUUGUGUCGUUUGGCUUUCCCCGUCUCUGCUUGACACAUGAACCAAAACAGAGGCAGCCAAAGCAGGGAAAAAAAAAUCCUAGGAUCAGAGUCCACUCUAUGCCCUUUUGAGCUUCAAAAGGAGAAAGAGACAAAAGCCAAAAGCAAUGGAGGUCAAGCUGCCCGGUACAUGUUUCUUUACGCCUGACCUCCUGAUGGACUCACUAGAUAAAAUGCUCCUUCUUGUAGCCAGCAAGCAAAUGAGUACUUUUUUAUGGCUUACAUCUGUGCCUGGUCGGCCAUCAAGUCUGGGUGCCACUGUUUGAGAUUUGGGGCUGUUUCCUGCAACUGAUCUCUGCUACAGAUAAGGCUUCCCUCCUGAGGCCAAAGCCCUGGUUAACGUUAAGAGCUCUAUGAUGAUGCAAACUUCAGAGGCGAUCACCUAACAUAACAAAAACCUCCCCAGAACCAGAACCUGUUUUUUCACCAAAACCCUUCCGCUGCUUGAAUAAGAAUGUCUUUUCCUUUCCUACAAUUUGUGCCAUGGAAAUGUGAAUAAUUUUUCUUAGCGGGGUAAAUCAUAGUGGUUACUUGAAUGCCAAAAAGAUGCUGGAGGGGCAGGUGGAUAUGUUGAAAAGAUAUAGAAAGCUUUGUAAAUUGCUUUUGAAUAAAUAUGUGACUAGUUCUCGCUUCGGGAGCACAUGUGUUAACAUUGGAACGAUACAGAGAAAAUUAGCACGGCCCUCGUAAAACGAUGACAUACAAAUUCAUGAAACAGUCCAAACUUUUUUAAAAAGAAAUGCAUGAAUAAGUAUUAAUAUCAAGCUCUUGAAUUGUCCUGUCAUUUCCUAAACAAGGUUUCAUCACCAGAUUUAGACCCACCUGCUUUUCUCUCUUUUCUGCUUCUUCCAGAGAUUUUUUUAGUGUCUUCAUUUCACUGGUUACCACUUCUAUCAUGUUUCUGGCCCUUUCUUUAUUCUCCUUAGCCUCAUGUUCUGUGGUAUCCAGUUCUGACUUGACAGACAUGAGCUUUUUCUCAGCUUUCUCCUUCAUCUUCUCCAGUUGGUCUCUGGAUUUGUUUAGAUCUUCAAUGGCUUUAGUCUGUUCCAAAGUUUUAAUCUAGAAAGUCAAGAGAAUGCUGAUAACUCCUUUUGUAUUUAGUUAGGAAAACUGUAUAAACAUGACAAAUCAGAAGUCAAUGGAAUUCACUUCAUACCCUUUUUAUGAAUAAAGAAUGGAGUUCAUCCCAAACAGUUAGAGAUUUUGCUAAGCAUAUGUGCUGGACAAACAUGUCUUAAGACAGUUACAGCUAAAAACAACACAUUAGAGUACCCUUAUUUGAAAAAUCAAUGAGAUAAAACUGUAGACAGCAUAAUUCUGGGGUCAGAUUUUAAAAUUAAGCCUGCUGGUAUGUGCACACACACUCUAUGAGGUCCAUAAGCAAAAGCACCUUCAACUUUCUGCCCUGACCAAUGGGACAUUGCUGGUAUAUAAACAUUAGGAAGAGCAAAAUGUCCCCUCUUCUAAUGCUGUAUCCCAUGAGAGCCCCACCUUAAAUCCACCUCAGCAAGUCUUCACAACUGCUGUGAGGAAAAUAUAGAUGGGCAGUUUUUCAGAAGCGUCUUCUAACUUUACCAGUGAGUCUGGGAGGUGAACAGCUGCAACUGUGGGGAGGAGUGGUGUCUUCCUCUGAGAAGCUGUCCCAAGAUCUUAAAGCCAAAACACACAGUAUGCUGGAGGGUGAGGCACAUUCUCCGUAUUAGCUUAUUACUUAAGAUUAGGCCAGAGUUACUUACAAAAAGAAUUUAAGGCCAGAUGUGGUGGCUCAUGCCUAUUAUCCCAGCCGGCCAGAUCACCUGAGGUCAGGAGUUCGAGAUCAGCCUGGCCAACAUGGUGAAACACCAUCUCUACUAACAAAAAAAAAAAAAAAAAUACAAAAGUUAGCCAGCCAUGGUGGCAGGCACCUGUAAUCCCAGCUACUCGGGAGGCUGAGGCAGGAGAAUUGCUUGAACCCAGGAGGCAGAGGUUGCAGUGAGUCAAGAUUGCGCCAUUGCACUCCAGCCUGGGCAACAGAGCGAGACUCAGUCUCAAGAAAAAAAAAAUGAAUGAAAUUCUGACACAUACUACAACUACAACAUGGAUGAGCCUUGAAAACAUCCUAAGUAAAAUAAGCCAGACACAAAAGGACUAAUAUUUUAUAAUUCCACUUAUAUGAAGUACGUAGAAUAGGCUAAUUCAUAGGAAUUGUAUGUAAGAUAGAAGUCACCAGGGGCUGGGGAAGAGGAGAAAUGAGAGCUAUUGUCUGAUGGGCACAAAGUUUCAGUCUGAGAUGAUAGAAAAAUUCUAGAUGUGGAUAGUGAUAAUGGUUGCACAACACUGUGAAUGUACUUAACACCAUGGAAUUGUACACUUAAUAAUGGGUAAAAUGAUAUAUAUUAUGUUAUUUUUAUUUUACCACAAUAAAAAAAAGAAUUUGAAGCAACUUCACACAGACACAAAUUGUUUUCACUGAUCAUUAAAAAUAUCAAAGGAUGGCUAAAAUAAAAAAGACAGACAAUCACAAGUGUUAGCAAGGAUGUGAGGAAGCUAGAACUCUCAUACACUACUGGUAGGUAUGUAAAAUGAUGUGGCUACUGUGGAAAAUAGUUUGCCAGUUUUUAAAAUAUUAAACAUAGAAUUACCACAUGACCCAGCAAUUCCAUUCCUAGGCGUAUGGGCAAGAGAACUGAAAACUUAUGCCCACACAGAAACUGUACACAAAUGUUCAUAGAAGCAUUAUUCGUAAUCACCAAAAAGUAGAAACAACCCAAAUGCCAUCAGCUGGCAAAUGGAAAAACAAAAUGUGGUAUAGCCAUACAAUGGAAUAUCAUUCAGCAGUAAAAAAGAAUAGAGUACUGGGACAUGCUACCACAUAGGUAAACCUUGAAAACAUCAUGCUAAGGGAAAGAAGCCAAUUGCAAAAAAACACAUAUUCUAUUAUCCCAUUUAUAUGAAAGAUCCAGAAAAGGCCAGGGGCUAGUAGGAGGACAGAAUGGGGAGCAACCACUUAUGGGUACAGGGUUUCUCUUGGAGGGGAUGAAAAUGUUUUGAAAUAUGAUAGUGGUGCCAUUUGCUAUAUAUGUGCAUAUACUAAAAAUCACUAAAUUGUACACUUUUUUUGAGACAGGGUCUUGCUCUGUCACCCAGGCUGGAGUGCAGUGGCACAAUCUCAGCUCACCGCAACCUCUGCUUUCUGGUUUCGAGCAAUUCUUGUGCCUCAGCUUCCCCAGUAGCUGGGAUUACAGGUGUGCGCCACCAUGCCCGCUAAUUUUUGUAUUUUUAGUAGAGAUAUGGUAUUGCCAUGCUGGCCAGGCUGGUCUUGGACCCCUGGCCUCAAGUGAUCCUCUCGCCUCAGCCUCCCAAACUGUUGGGAAUACAGUGCACCCAGCCUAAAUUGUACACUUUUAAAAAGUGAAUUUUAUGGUAUAUCAACUGUAUCUUAAUAAAACUCUUAUUUGAAAGUGCAUUUACAAGGAAGCUCUUUAAAAGGAUCAAAAUAAAUUAACCUGAAAUAAAUAAAUAAACAUAUCAGUAAGGAAUGAAUAGACAAAGAGCAAACAAAGCAAACAAAGACCAGUACAGCUCUGAAUUUAGUCUUGCGCUUCCUGACAAUUGAGGUAAACUGUUCAGGUAUAUUCUCAAAGAAAAAGCAUUAUUUUGUGUUUUCGUUUUGUGGUUAGAUCAUUAAAAAAAAACAAGUAAGAAAGUAACAGAAUAAAAGACACCAAAUAAUAAGUAUUUGCUGUUUUCUUCCUUCCCUCCCAUCCCUUCUUUCCUAAGAAGAAAAGAUGUUUUCUUGAUGCAUCUAUUUUUAUCUAAUUGCUUCUAGGGUAGAAUUUGGGUAAAGGGGGAGAUUGUCAGGAAGGAAGCAAGCCAGGGAGGCUAAACUGACCUACACGGUAAACAGCUGAGAGAGAAGUGGGGAGAAAAAUGAAGUCUAUGCUAACUAGGCUGCAGGAAAGCCUUCCUGACGAAACCUAGAAUCAUGCAAGAGGGAACUGUGAGAAGGCAUUGGUGUUGUGCAGCAAUGUAAUGAGAGAGAAAGGGGAAUGAGAAUGUUGCUGCCCCAAUGAAUGAAUUUCUUUGUAUUUUUUUACUGAUGAUAAUAAAACAAACAACUGUUAUUUAGUUGCUCGAUUCCUGAUUAUGUAUUGCUGAAGGGCUUUGAGAUGACUAUGACUUACGUUGAUGACAUGUGGAGACUACUGUCAGAGAUUGAAAUCUCUCCCUACGGUUGGGCAUAGAGUGCAUCUUCACUGUGGCUGAGCAUCUGAAUAAUGGCACAAGUGAGCCUGUUCUACACUCUGAAGGCUCUCACUAUCCCACUAGAAAGUCUGAGGAAUGGGAGCAACUGUUCUAAGAUUAGGACAUGAUCUAGAGGAGAUGUGACUGCUUGGGAUAUAGAUGUCCAGAUGGAAAAAAUCAGAUUUAUUUAUACCAUUUUGUGUGAUAUCACUAAAUUGAGGAAUCCAGAGUCAAAUAUCUGCUGAACUCAUAAACUAGAAACCAGUUUUGGCCAGGCGCAGUGGCUCAUACCUGUAAUCCCAGCACUUUGGGAGAACAAGGCGGGUGGAUCACGAGGUCAGGAGUUCGAGACCAGCCUGGCCAAGAUAGUGAAACCCCAUCUCUAUUAAAAAUGCAAAAAUUAGCUGGUUGUGGUGGCGGGGGCCUGUACUCCCGGCUACUCAGGAGGCUGAGGCAGGAGAAUCACUUGAACCCAGGAGGUGGAAGUUGCAGUGAGCAGAGACCACACCAUUCACUCCAGCCUGGGUGACAAGAGUGAGACUCCGUCGCAAAAAAACAAAAACAAAAACAGUUUUUACCUACUAUAACCCAUAGAACUUCUUAAGGCACAAAACUUCUUUUGCUACAGUCUGAAUGUUUGUGUCCUCCUAAAUUCAUAUGUUGAAAUUCUAACCUCCACAAUGAUGAUAUUAAGAAGUGGGACCUCUGGAAGUUGCUUAGGUUAUGAAGGCAGAGCCAUCUUGAAUGGGAUUAGUGCUCUUAUAGAAGAGGCCCCAGAGAGCUGCCUCACCCCUUCUACCAUGUGAAGACACAGCAAGAAGGCAUCAUCUAUGAACAAGGAAGCAUGCUCUCACCAGACAUCAAAUCUGCUGGCACCUUGAUUUUUAACUUCCCAGCCUCUAGAACUAUGGGGUUCUGCUCUUGUCACCCAGACUGGAGUGAAGUGGCACAAUCUCGGCUCACUGCAACCUCCGCCUCCCGGGUUCAAGCGAUUCCCCUGCCUCAGCCUCCAGAGUAGCUGGACUGCAGGCGCACGCCACCACUCCUGGCUAAUUUUUGUAUUUUUAGUAGAGACGGGGUUUCACCAUGUUGGCCAAGAUGUUCUUGAUCUUCUCACCUUGUGAUCCGCCCACCUCAACCUCCCAAAGUGCUGAGAGACUAAGACACCUUUCUAGACAGAGAGGAGGCCGAUGGCAGACAUUCUCAGAUAGGUUUGUAGCUAUUGACCUGGCUGCAUCAAAGGAGAUGAAAUCCCUUAGAAAUUGACAGCUUCUAUGAAAUUUACAAUCAAGAAGGCAUAAGAACAACUGCUGCAGCUUCAGAACUAUGCAGAAAAUAAAAUGUCAACAGCUGGGAGAAAAAAUUCUAAGUGAGCAACAGAGCCAGUGAAAAAUAUCACCAGUAGAGCAGGCACCUGAGACAGGGAAAUGGCACCCACUAAGUGCAGGUCUACAGGGGCUGACCUUGCAGACCAUUUAUGGAUCCCAAGUUACCAAAACCCUUAUUUGAUUAUGAACUGCAUAGUAGAUACCAAUACAUCAGAGCAUUGUCUCAAUGUUAAUAUCUAUCUGUGCUGAUUGUAUUGUGGUCAUGUAACAGAAUGAAUGCCCUUGUUCUUAAGUGAUACGUGGGAAAAUAUUUGAGGGGUGAAGUGUCAUGAUGUUUGCUACUUACUCUCACAUGCUUUGGCAAAAAUAAAACAUCUCUCUCUCUCCAGGCAAAAUAUAGUAAUCAGUAAAAUAUUAACAAUCUGUGUGAAGGGUAAAAGAGUAUCCAUUAUACUAUUCCUGCCAUUUUCUACAGCUUAGACAUUUUUCAAAACAAUUAAAUAUUUUCAAAACAAGAAGUUGGGAAAGGGAAGUAUUGAUCAUGGAUCAUACUAGUAGAAUUUUUUUGAUAUAUAUGUAUACAUAAUUAUAAGUUACAUAAGCAUAUUGCUCAAAAUAAUAUAUUCUGUAGACCAUUAAACAUUUUAUAAAAUGGGGACAUUACAUUGAUUAAGUAAAUAUCAAUGUUUAAAACAAAGUGAUCUCCCUUUAAAACAAAGAGAUUCCUUUCACUUACAAACUAUCUCACUGCUACAAAGAAAAUAUGUGGCAAAUGGUAAAUUGCUGGGAUUGGUAUGUUGAAUUUUAAACCUUGUAUUUAUAAAAGAACAGAUACAUUCAGCCUGUCUGUUCAGAUUGGGAAAACAUUUACAGUGGGCUAUCUACCAAAGGUGAUGGAACACAGCUUGGAGGUCUAGAAGCUCAUGAAUCAAGUCCUAAUGAGAAGAAUUUGUUGCCAAGAAUCUCUAAAAAAUAUGAGACUUUAUCAGAAUCCUCAGGGCUGCCUCAAUCUUUGUUCCCAGGAAGCAAGAACAAGUAAUGGAGCUCCGAGCCAAGCCACCAGGGCAGAACAGGGAGCCAAUAGUGGUGAAGAAAGCCUCAAACCCAGCAACAGAUUCCUGAGAGUGGAAUGGGACUAAGUCGGUUUCUUAAUCUUCCUAAGGGAACUCCUCAGACCCAGCUCAGAGUUCAGCGAGAGACUGUGCCCCUAAUUUUCUUCCAGUGGGACAGAACUGGUCAUAAACAAGAUUGAUGUGCCACUCAGACUCUAGCAAGGGCAGAGAAGGUUCCAAGUGUGCUUUGCUGUCAUAAACACUGUAUCUACUGUCUGCUUCCUUAAAGAAAAGAAUUUUAAAAUCUGGUGAACAAUUCUCUCAUGUUAUAAGGGCCAAAGACCCAGAAAGGGAAGAUGAUCAAAUUUAAAUUUUGGUGUGUUGGCUCCCUGAGAGGAUCUAAAUUCUCCAGCUGGAAGGUUUCAGGAAGCUGCAUUGAAAACACCACCCAGUAGGAGCCAGGAAGUGAACUCAGGCUCUCUGAAUGGGAUAGGACAGCAAAGUGGGAGAUUCUUUUGAUGGCCCGAAUAGAUGCUGUGUCCCUCUUUGAAAAGGACACAAAAACUUAACUAAGUAGCAAACAUCAUCAAGAUGGCUAACUAAAGGCAACCAACACUCAUCUCUACCCCAAAGAAGGACCAAAACAACAAAUAACCACACAUCAAACAGUGUCUAGGGAGGAACACUGGAAUUCAGCAAGGAAGUGACAAAGACCUUCUGAGAUGCAAAAACUCAGGAAGGCAGCAUAGAAAGGAAAGCAAAGCAGUCAGCCAGGAUCAGCUUGGAGCAAAGAGAGACUUCCCACUGAAGGAAAAAGAAAAUCAGAGGAGGCUUUCAUCUUUCUUCUUCUGGCGUGUCCCGAUAAAGCUGUCAUUCUUUUGCAUAAAACAUUGACAGUAACCAGCAAAAAGCAACAACAAAAUGAAGCCAAGCACUUGCCUUCAGUUCAUUGGUGUCGGCCAGUUUGGCUUUGAGCUCGGUGUGCAAGUCUCGACACGUGUUCAGCUCUUUCUGCAGCCUCUCCACCUUCUUCUGCAAGUUCCUGAUGCUUACAGGUAAUUCUCCUUUGCAGAGAGCAUGGAACGGAGCACGGACUCUGACCCAUAUGUGGUAAUAAAUUCCUGAACCACCCUGCCAGUUCCCUGCCUACCCCUUGUCUGAAUGCUCUUGACUCUCCUAGCCCUUGAUGUUCAUGUUCAAUCGAAUAUUAUAUACUUUUCUUAACUCUGCCAAACAACACAUUUGGCUAUGUUUGAUGACAUCUUCAUCUCUCUGCUUCGACAACUUGUUGCUGCAACCAUGCCCCUCUCAGGCUAAUCUAGCCCCUGGGAUCCACCCAUUGAUAUGGUUUGGCUGUGUCACCACUCAUAUCUCAUCCUGAAUUGUAGCUCCCAUAAUUCCCACAUGUUGUGGGAGGGACCUAGUGGAAGAUAAUUGAAUCAUGGGGGCAGUUUCCCGCAUACUGUUCUCAUGGUAGUGAGUAAGUCUCACGACGUCUGAUGGUUUUAUAAGGGGAAAACCCCUUUUGCUUGGCUCUCGUUCUCUCUCUUUGCCUGCCACCAUGUAAGACAUCCCUUACUCUUCCACCAUGAUUGUGAGGCCUCCCAAGCCACGUGGAACUGUGAGUCCAUUAAACCUCUUUUUCUUUAUAAAUUACCCAGCCUCAGGUAUGUCUUAUUUAUUUAUUUGUUUAUUUAUUUAUUUAUUUUGAGACAGAGUCUUCCUCUGUCACCCAGGCUGGAGUACAGUGGCUUGAUCUUGGCUCACUGCAGCCUCCGCCUCCCAGGUUCCG
rnacentral:lncRNA from 1 species